UACAGGUGUGAGCCACCAUGCCUGGUCCUUUUCUUUUCUUAUAAUGACCUUGGUAUUGGUAUCAGGAUAAUACUGGACUCUUAGAAUGUGUUGGGAAGUAUAGUAAUACAUUGCUUAAUGAGAAUGUGAGAGAAAUGUGUCAUUGGGUGAUUUUGUCAUUGUUUGAACAUCAUAAAGUGUAAUUACACAAACCUACUACACAAAUCAUAUAGUCUACUACAUACCCAGGCUAUAUGGUAUAGAUUAUUGCUCCUAGGCUACAAACCUGUACAGCAUGAUACUAUACUGAAUACUGUAGGCAAGUGUAACUUAAUGGCAAGUAUUUGUGAAUCUAAGCAUAGAAAAAGCAUGGUAAAAACAUGGUAUAAGAGAUCAAAAAUGAUACACUUAACCAGCUGGGCACGGUGGCUCACGCCUGUAA
rnacentral:lncRNA from 10 species